rnacentral:rRNA from 1 species
GACGAACGCUGGCGGCGUGCCUAAUACAUGCAAGUCGAACGCUGAAGAGAGGAGCUUGCUCUUCUUGGAUGAGUUGCGAACGGGUGAGUAACGCGUAGGUAACCUGCCUUGUAGCGGGGGAUAACUAUUGGAAACGAUAGCUAAUACCGCAUAACAAUGGAUGACACAUGUCAUUUAUUUGAAAGGGGCAAUUGCUCCACUACAAGAUGGACCUGCGUUGUAUUAGCUAGUAGGUGAGGUAACGGCUCACCUAGGCGACGAUACAUAGCCGACCUGAGAGGGUGAUCGGCCACCCUGGGACUGCGACACGGCCCAGACUCCUACGGGAGGCAGCAGUAGGGAAUCUUCGGCAAUGGGGGCAACCCUGACCGAGCAACGCCGCGUGAGUGAAGAAGGUUUUCGGAUCGUAAAGCUCUGUUGUAAGUCAAGAACGAGUGUGAGAGUGGAAAGUUCACACUGUGACGGUAGCUUACCAGAAAGAGACGGCUAACUACGUG